GGCGGCCCUGUAUAUAGAGAGAGAGAGAGAGUAAGAAGGAUCAGCACUCACUGUAUUGAGUUAGAUGGAAAAGGCCCAUAGAACUUGUGGAGCACAACAACGGAUAAGGAAACGGUAAACCAAUCAACUUGAAAGUAUGGUGUUCGUUACUAACUAUAUGCCAGCGAGUCAGCAGGUAAAUACUACUAUUAAAAAACAUUGGCCAUUUUUACAAUUGGACUCUAGUCUGCUGUCCACUGUGAUGCCACCCCCUAUAGGUGCCUAUCGUCGAGGCCGGUCAUUGAAAGAUCUACUGAUGGUGACUCUACAGAAUGGGAAUGCUGACACUUGGUUACCAGUGAGUAAACCAGGAUGUUUUUGAUGUGGGGGAUGUAAGACCUGUGGAUGUUUAAUUACUAGUGGAACAUUUCCCCAUCCUCACACUGACAAUCCUCACCACAUGUGCUUUGGAUUCCCCACAACAGAUAAGCACUAAUGCCGAUGUUUCAAACACACCCCACCUUGGCGCAAAGGCAAAAAAAGGAAAAUAUUACAACCAGGCAAGAACUACUGAUUUACAUCAUGCAUUUGCUUUUAAUAUUGCCUCUAAACUGAGGAGGAUGGAAGAGGAACAGUGUUUGCUUGCUGAAAGCCUGACCACUCAAGUUUUACAAAAAAUCUGACAAUAGCACAUUUAUUGAACAUAUAGUAAACCUACAUCUAUACAACCAUCUAAAACUUACAUAUUCUUGACUCCUUACACUCAAAAACAAGCUUCUAACUUUGCCUCAUAACAGAAUCACCCCUGCAUAUAUUUCCCAUGAUUAAGCAGGUCUGGACUAGGAUUCAUAAUAAGCCCUGGCAUUUAAAAAGUCAGAGGCCCAAACAGACCCCCACCAGCCCAUGAAAUAAUGACAUCUUGCAGCAGCCCCAGAACUCACAGAUUGCCAGUCCAGGCCUGUGAUUAAGUAACCAAUUUCUUUCUCUUAAGAACCUACUGACUCCACACAGCUGCAGAGCUAUUACCCUACAACUAAAAUUUCUAGUGUCAGGCAAAUCUGGUCAAUGUACUGAUUGCUCGUGUUUUUUCUUACAUACUUGCUGCCUCUGUUAUAUUAUUUGCCUUCCACAACUAGUAAAAGGUGGAGUUUCCUCCCAGUCUGUUGCUUAGGGAUGGCUUCCUGACUAUAGGGGUAGAGAAUAAAUAUUUAAGAUUCUU